rnacentral:rRNA from 1 species
AGUGGCGGACGGGUGAGUAACGCGUAAGUAACCUGCCCUUAAGUGGGGGACAACCCUGGGAAACCGGGGCUAAUACCGCAUGUGGUGGCGGGGUGAUGUUCUGUCACUAAAGCCUUCGGGUGCUUAAGGAGGGGCUUGCGUCUGAUUAGCUAGUUGGUGGGGUAAAGGCCUACCAAGGCGAUGAUCGGUAGCUAGUCUGAGAGGACGGUCAGCCACACUGGGACUGAGAUACGGCCCAGACUCCUACGGGAGGCAGCAGCAAGGAAUUUUGUGCAAUGGGCGAAAGCCUGACACAGCGACGCCGCGUGGGGGAUGAAGGCCUUCGGGUUGUAAACCCCUUUUCUCAGGGAAGAACAAUGACGGUACCUGAGGAAUAAGUCACGGCUAACUACGUGCCAGCAGCCGCGGUAAUACGUAGGUGGCGAGCGUUAUCCGGAUUUAUUGGGCGUAAAGAGGGCGUAGGCGGUUCUUCAAGUCGGAUGUGAAAUCUCCCGGCUCAACCGGGAGGGGUCAUUCGAUACUGUUGGGCUAGAGGGCAGUAGAGGAAGGUGGAAUUCCCGGUGUAGUGGUGAUAUGCGUAGAUAUCGGGAGGAACACCAGUGGCGAAGGCGGCCUUCUGGGCUGUUCCUGACGCUGAGGCCCGAAAGCGUGGGGAGCAAACAGGAUCAGAUACCCUGGUAGUCCACGCUGUAAUCGAUGGACACUAGGUAUAGGAAGUAUCGACCCUCUCUGUGCC